rnacentral:rRNA from 1 species
UGGGGAAUUUUGGACAAUGGAGGCAACUCUGAUCCAGCCAUGCCGCGUGUCUGAAGAAGGCCUUCGGGUUGUAAAGGACUUUUGUCAGGGAGCAAAACCUGCCUGUAAAUAAUGAGUAGGAUUGAGAGUACCUGAAGAAUAAGCACCGGCUAACUACGUGCCAGCAGCCGCGGUAAUACGUAGGGUGCGAGCGUUAAUCGGAAUAACUGGGCGUAAAGCGUGCGCAGGCGGUUGGGCAAGUCUGAUGUGAAAGCCCCGGGCUUAACCUGGGAAUGGCAUUGGAGACUGCUCGGCUAGAGUGCGUCAGAGGGGGGUAGAAUUCCACGUGUAGCAGUGAAAUGCGUAGAGAUGUGGAGGAAUACCGAUGGCGAAGGCAGCCCCCUGGGAUGACACUGACGCUCAUGCACGAAAGCGUGGGGAGCAAACA